rnacentral:rRNA from 1 species
AGGUCAAAUCAUCAUGCCCCUUACAUCUAGGGCUACAGGCGUGCUACAAUGGCCAAUACAAAAAGACGCGAUACCGCGAGGUGGAGCAAAUCUCUAAAAUUGGUCUCAGUUCGGAUUGAAGUCUGCAACUCGACUUCAUGAAGCUGGAAUCGCUAGUAAUCCUGAAUCAGAAUGUCAGGGUGAAUACGUUCCCGGGUGUU